AGAGUUUGAUCAUGGCUCAGAACGAACGUUAGCGGUGUGGAUUAGGCAUGCAAGUCGAGCGCGAAAGCUGCCUUCGGGCGGCAAGUAAAGCGGCGAACGGGUGAGUAACACGUAACCAACCUACCCCUGAGACUGGGAUAACCACUGGAAACGGUGGGUAAUACCGGAUGGCCCGUCGACAAGGCAUCUUGUCAACGGUAAACGGUGGCUUCGGCUGCUGCUCAAGGAGGGGAUUGCGGGCUAUUAGCUAGUUGGUGGGGUAAUGGCCUACCAAGGCGAUGAUGGCUAGCGGGUCUGAGAGGACGACCCGUCACACUGGGACUGAGAUACUGCCCAGACUCCUACGGGAGGCUGCAGUCGAGAAUCUUCCGCAAUGGGCGAAAGCCUGACGGAGCGACACCGCGUGCAGGAUGAAGGCCUUCGGGUUGUAAACUGCUGUCACGCAAUAGGAAUCCCGCAGCGUAAAUAGCGCUGCGAUUGACUAACGCGAGAGGAAGCACCGGCUAACUCCGUGCCAGCAGCCGCGGUAAGACGGAGGGUGCGAACGUUGUUCGGAAUUACUGGGCAUAAAGAGCACGUAGGCGGUUCGCUAAGUUGGGUGUGAAAGCCCCCGGCUCAACCGGGGAAUUGCUCCCGAUACUGGCGGACUAGAGAUCGGUAGGGGUGAGUGGAACUCCAGGUGGAGCGGUGAAAUGCGUAGAUAUCUGGAGGAACACCGGUGGCGAAAGCGGCUCACUGGACCGACACUGACGCUGAGGUGCGAAAGCUAGGGUAGCGAACGGGAUUAGAUACCCCGGUAGUCCUAGCCGUAAACGAU
rnacentral:rRNA from 1 species